rnacentral:rRNA from 1 species
AAUCAACGCUGGCGGCGUGCCUAACACAUGCAAGUCGAACGCGAAAGCCCUUUCGGGGGUAAGUAGAGUGGCGUCCGGGUGAGUAACACGUAGGUAAUCUACCUUCGGGUGGGGAAUAACUCGCCGAAAGGCGAGCUAAUACCGCAUAAUGCAGCGGCACCUAAUGGUGAUUAGUUGUUAAAGCGGGGGAUCGUAAGACCUCGCGCCUGAAGAGGAGCCUGCGGCAGAUUAGCUAGNGGUGAGGUAAUGGCUCACCAAGGCUUCGAUCUGUAGCUGGUCUGAGAGGACGGCCAGCCACACUGGCACUGACACACGGGCCAGACUCC